GUCUUGAGGUGUUUGUUGCAUCAAUUGUCUUGACAUAUCAAGACGUAUUUGGGAAAUAGGAACAGAAAAGUUUGGCAAGAAUUACGAUUGAAAGAAGCAAAAUUUUAGCUGACGUUUGCUUGCACAGUCGAAGCCGAUAAUUUCCGUUUUGUCUUGUCACCUUUUUCUAAUGGAAGAAAAAUCAAGCAAGAUGCUGUUUGUGGUGUUAAUUGCUGCUGUCUACAACACGGUAGCGAAAAACGUCGUUGGAAAUGAAAACUUAAAAAAUAGUACAUCAAAAUCUGUUAUUCUUCAUUUGUCAAAUAACUUAAGGAGAUCGAUAGAAAUUGCUGAGAGCACAACAAGUGCAAUGUUUGCUGAUAAUAUCGCUUUAGCCAGUAUCACAGAGCAAUCAAAGGAACCGUCACUAAAUUAUUCUAUUCUAGCAAAAGAAAGUACUUCAAAAGAUGAUUUCUUAACAACACACCAGAAAACACCAUCAAUGACCAAAUUAAUGUCAUCACCCCCAAUGUCGUCUUUAGAAAAUUUUGUAACUACACAAAAUGCAGUGAAAUCAUCGUCAGUGGUCUUAAAAGAAAGUAUUUC